CAAGAAGCGCGAAAGGCUACUUACAACCAUCGCGAACUUAUCCUCAGGUUGCUUCGGCGGCGUCGCUCGCCCCUCCGGGGGACCGGCAGCCCGGCCUGGCCUCAGGAGUAGGGCAGCCGCCGGAGGUACGAAACUCUGUAUUAAUAGCUAGGUAAUCUCUGAGUAUACAAGCAAAUAAGUUAA
rnacentral:misc_RNA from 1 species